GGCAGACGUGUGAUGAAACACGUUUAUUACAGGAAGCACCAGUUAGCCCAGAUGCUUCUCAUCUUUGGAGUUGAGCUGCAGGCUGGAGACCUGGAAGGCCCUCGCAGCGCCUGCUCCCAUCCUCUCACCUCACGAAAGCGCAGGAAUGUGGGUUUGGAGCCAAUGAAAAGUACUGGAAUCUGGCUCUGCUCUGUGACCCUGGACAAGUCACUGCCCCUCUCUGGGCUUCAGUUUCCUCCUUGCUCCAUGAGGGCAGGGGAUUUUGUCUGUUUCAUUCACAAUGUGUUCCCAGAGCUCAGCACAGUGUCAGGCACACACUAGGUAACAGCACCUCGACUUCCUACUGAAGAACCCCCUCUUCCCUUUUCUCAGUCCAUGAGGCUGGGGGUGCCCAGAGGCCUCUGUCUCCAGGGGUGGACAUGUGACCGGGUCUUGCUCUAGUGAUUGGUCCAGGGAUGGGCACAUGACUGAGCCUGCCCAAUGAAACUUGAUCUUGGGACUUCAGGGUUG
rnacentral:lncRNA from 1 species